UCGCCCCAGGGCGUCGCGGUCGGGCGCCCGCCGAGGUCGCGGCCCUCGAUGCGGGCGAUCCGCACCGUGGCGCCGUCCGGGCCGGUGAGGGCGAU
rnacentral:tRNA from 1 species